rnacentral:snRNA from 1 species
GUGUUCACUUAGGCAGCACAUACACUAAAAUUGGAACAAUCCAGAGAAGAUUAGUGUGGCCCCUGCACAAUGAUGACACACAAAGUCGUGAAGCAUUCAAAAAAAAA